rnacentral:rRNA from 1 species
CAGCAGCCGCGGGAAUACGAAGGGGGCUAGCGUUGUUCGGAUUUACUGGGCGUAAAGGGUGCGUAGGCGGAUUGUUAAGUCAGGGGUGAAAUCCCGAGGCUCAACCUCAGAACUGCCUUUGAUACUGGCGAUCUUGAGUCCGGGAGAGGUGAGUGGAACUGCGAGUGUAGAGGUGAAAUUCGUAGAUAUUCGCAAGAACACCGGUGGCGAAGGCGGCUCACUGGCCCGGAACUGACGCUGAGGCACGAAAGCGUGGGGAGCAAACAGGAUUAGAUACCCCAGUAGUCCCUGUCUCUUAUAC